rnacentral:rRNA from 1 species
AGCUCCAAUAGCGUAUAUUAAAGUUGUUGUGGUUAAAAAGCUCGUAGUUGGAUCUCAGCGGCCUUGAGGCGGUUAGCUUUGUUGUUUUAUUGCUUUGUAGGCUGCGCUUUUGUUGCAGGUUUCGGGGUGCUCUUGUUCGCGUGUGUCUGGCUGCCAGCAGGUUUACUUUGAAAAAAUUAGAGUGCUCAAAGCAGGCUAAAAUGCCUGAAUAUUCGUGCAUGGAAUAAUAGAAUAGGAUGUCGAUCCUAUUUUGUUGGUUUUCGGGACUCGACAGAAUGAUAAAUAGGGACAGUCGGGGGCAUUUGUAUUCAAACGACAGAGGUGAAAUUCUUGGACCGUUUGAAGACAAACUACUGCGAAAGCAUUUGCCAAGAAUGUUUUCA